AUGAGACGGAAUUCACGACACAAGCGGUUCACAAAAUGUUUUGUGUUAGGCUAUAAAAACAGAUUUUAUCAAACAAAAGAUAAUUCAUUGUGUAACAAUGAGCAUUGGGAUUGCAAACAGACGAAGAUCGUCAAAGCAGGACUUGAGGAGCUGUGUGACAGAGGGGGAGAUCUGAGGGGAUGUGUGGCGGAGGAAGAGGAGCAUAAGGGACAAAGACAGAGAGCUGAGAGUGGAGAGAGGCAACAGUGGGCGGAGAGGGGUCCCAGCCUCACCUCUGGCCCCAGCCCUAGCUUUGACCCCGGAAGGAGGAGUGAACUACAGUACUAUGUCGCCAUGUUGUUAGAUCGUUCUCCAGGAGAGCCCGUGGAGAGUCCAGCUCAGGACAACACAGGUCUGGGGUCAUCGUGGGACAGUGUGAAGAUUCAGCUUCACACCCCUCUGGAAACUCCCUCCUCCCCUGGAGCCCAAACCAGACACCCCACAUGCAAUCCAACUAACACAGGUCAGGUGUCAGCCCAGCUCAGGUCUCUCCUGGUGCAGUUCCCCUCCCAGCCUGACAGGGCGGCGCGCUCUCUGCAGUUGCUCUCUAAGCUGACCCAUGGGUCUGAUGGUGAGUGUGAGGAGAAGCCGAGCCGCCUGAAGAAGAGCGAACCACUCCUUCAGAACUCUGUAGUGUCCCGGGUAACUAGUCAGGGGUCCGGGGUGAGGGGUCAGGUGCCGGGUAUGAGGGGCAGAAGGGGGUGGCAGGGAAGGGGGGGAGCGUGGAGAUGA
rnacentral:lncRNA from 13 species